CAUUUAGCAUCCUUUCCUAAUGGGAGGCAGAAGAAGAUAAGGGAAUGCUAUCAAAGCACUCCACUUCUUUAAAGAAAAUAUUUCACUUCCAAAGAUCCUGACAGUUUGGAAAGCCUCUGCAGUUUACAUCUAUGUCUUUUUAAAAGUGAGGGGCUAACUGAGAUGUGAGACUGCAAGACUGAGCAGCCUUCUCUGCCACAUACGAUAAACGUGGCCUUGUUAUCAACAACCAUUCUCAUAUACUGAGUUCUUUGGAAGAGUGUUUUGCUGGACAAUCUGCAGUUAUGUGGGCUCUCUUUACAUGAAUGAUGGAGACUGGAAAUCCAACCCUCACUAUAUUUUCCAGAGGAAAACCAAUUCUUGUAUACAGUCUAUUCUGGUCUUGCAGAGAGAAGCCACUCUGUGACACGGAGAACUAGAUACUACUCUGUUAUGUAGCACAAAACAAAACUGUUAAAACUGCUAAUCUGUCACAGCCUAAAGGUGAAAAUUAGAAGGGAAGAUGAAUGAAGGGUUGAGAUUCUAGUCUGGAAUGUAAAAGAUCCUUUCUGCCCUGAAAUACUUCCGAUGUGGCUAUGGAUAACUCCUAAAUCCUGAAAGAAUAUAAUAUCAACAGUCAUACAUUUCAGCCUCAGUUGAGGAUCUGUGCCUUAAUUCCUCUGUUCCUGAGUUCUCCAUCUGUAAAAUGGAAAUAGUAAUAUUGCUCUACUUGGAAGUAAAAAUAUAUACUUAUCAUUCCAAUAUAUUAUUAUACAGUGGGUUGGUACAUGGAGCAUGGAGUUAUCUAAAAUAGGUAUCUAAAUCAAUCUACUAGGAAGAGUUUUGAGGGCCUGAAGCUCUAUACCAUAAAGCACCAGAAUCAGGCAUCUUCGUGCUUAUUCAAAUCAGUCUUACUAAAAACACAGUCUAUAUCAUCAAACAAAAAGCUCAUUUCUACUGUGCUGGAGCAGGGAUUUAUUUUGAAAUAAAUUUUGAAAUGUCAUAGUUGAG
rnacentral:lncRNA from 7 species